rnacentral:rRNA from 1 species
UACGUAGGGUGCAAGCGUUAAUCGGAAUUACUGGGCGUAAAGCGUGCGCAGGCGGUUAUAUAAGACAGUUGUGAAAUCCCCGGGCUCAACCUGGGAACUGCACCUGUGACUGUAUAGCUAGAGUACGGUAGAGGGGGAUGGAAUUCCGCGUGUAGCAGUGAAAUGCGUAGAUAUGCGGAGGAACACCGAUGGCGAAGGCAAUCCCCUGGACCUGUACUGACGCCCAUGCACGAAAGCGUGGGGAGCAAACAGG